AGUUAAAAAGCUAUAGAAUAUAAAGCCUAAUGUCUUGAAAACAUUAUGAAAGAAGUUUAAAUCUUCUAUUAACUU
rnacentral:tRNA from 1 species